UGGUUUAAAAUAUUUUUUUGGUUGUUGGGUUGGGAAAAAUAGACCAUUCUUAAAACCUUAUAAAUUAAGCUCAUUUUAACAGGUUGGUAGGCUUUGAUAAUGAUACCGCUUGUAAUUUUUUCUGUUUGGAUUUUUUUAAAUGCAUGCAAUGAAAUAUGAAUAUAAUUUAGUAAUGCAUUUGAACUAUCUAACAUUUUCUUUGCUUGAAUUUUUUUAGUGUAAAAGUUGAAUUUGUCAGAUUAGUCUUAGUGUCCAGUCUUUAAAGUUUAAUUGGAGAGCUGAUUAUUGAAAUAUAAACUGAACUGCAAUUUGUUGGAUUCAAAACUUGGAUAGUGUAUUAUACUAAACUAUUCGGUUCUUAUCAUUACAAAAUGAUUUGUUGUUGUCUAUCCUUGUGCAUAUCUCUACAAAUUUUUAUUCUCCAAAUAUGAAUGUUGUCAAUGAGAACUUCCUCCCUCUGCUGAAACGCCUUGAUGACUGCAUAGCUCUCGAGCAUUGGGUAUGAUUCGCUCUCAUGUACUUUCUGUACUCAAAAGUGCGUCUUCUCAGGUUCAGUCAGCAAUCCGGAGCAAUAGUAGCAGCAAGGCAUCUCUUGCUGAGGGUGUAGAGGCAUCUGUUAUAUAUGUUCGUUUCAAGGCAGCGGCAA